rnacentral:rRNA from 1 species
CCGCAAGGCUAAAACCCAAAGGAAUUGACGGGGGCUUACACAAGCGGUGGAGCAUGUGGUUUAAUUCGAAACAACGCGCAAAACCUUACCAAUCCUUGACAUAUGAAAAACCAGGGUGUUUACCCGCUCUGUCUCUUUUAUACAGGUGCUGCAUGGCUGUCGUCAAUUCGUGGUGUGAGCUGUUGGGUUAAGUCCCAGAACGAACGCAACCCUCCUUUGAAAUGAAGGUUUACCUUUUUCAAAGACUGCCAAGGAUAUCUUGGAGGAAGGUGAGGAUGACGUCAAGUCCGCAUGGCCCUUAUGGGUUGGGCUACACACGUGCUACAAUGGGAAUGACAAAAGGAGGCAACAUGGCAACAUUGAGCAAAUCCCAAAAAGUUUCCUUAGUUCGGAUUGUUCUCUGCAACUCGAGAACAUGAAGUUGGAAUCGCUAGUAAUCGUAGAUCAGCACGCUACGGUGAAUUUGUAUCUAAGCCUUGUACACACCGCCCGUCACACUCUGAAAAUUUUUAUGCCUUGAAGCAAAAGAAGUUCACCAAGAACACACAGCGCAAUUAAAAAAAACAUCUUCCCUUUUUUUUUCUGUGUCUUUGUUGGAACCUUUUCUAGAGUUAGGGAGGUGAUUGGAGUG